AAAUGCGAUAAGUAAUGUGAAUUGCAGAAUUCAGUGAAUCAUCGAAUCUUUGAACGCACAUUGCGCCUAUUAGUAUUCUAGUAGGCAUGCCUGUCCGAGCGUCAUUUCAACCAUCAAGCCCCCGGGCUUGUGUUGGGGACCUGCGGCUGCCCGCAGGCCCUGAAAACCAGUGGCGGGCUCGCUGUCACACCGAGCGUAGUAGCAAUCACCUCGCUCAGGGCGUGCUGCGGGUUCCGGCCGUUAAACAGCCUUACAAAACCCAAGGUUGACCUCGGAUCAGGUAGGAAGACCCGCUGAACUUAAGC
rnacentral:misc_RNA from 1 species